AGUGAACGCUGGCGGUAGGCCUAACACAUGCAAGUCGAACGGCAGCACAGUAAGAGCUUGCUCUUACGGGUGGCGAGUGGCGGACGGGUGAGGAAUACAUCGGAAUCUACUUUUUCGUGGGGGAUAACGUAGGGAAACUUACGCUAAUGCCGCAUACGACCUACGGGUGAAGGCAGGGGAUCUUCGGACCUUGCGCGAUUGAAUGAGCCGAUGUCGGAUUAGCUAGUUGGCGGGGUAAAGGCCCACCAAGGCGACGAUCCGUAGCUGGUCUGAGAGGAUGAUCAGCCACACUGGAACUGAGACACGGUCCAGACUCCUACGGGAGGCAGCAGUGGGGAAUAUUGGACAAUGGGCGCAAGCCUGAUCCAGCCAUACCGCGUGGGUGAAGAAGGCCUUCGGGUUGUAAAGCCCUUUUGUUGGGAAAGAAAAGCAGCAGGUUAAUACCCCGCUGCUCUGACGGUACCCAAAGAAUAAGCACCGGCUAACUUCGUG
rnacentral:rRNA from 1 species